GGACAUACCUGAAGCGUGCAGUUGGU
rnacentral:sRNA from 1 species